UAGUAUGUGUUAAGCCAAUUGUGGAUGGUGGUAUGAUAAAGUGGGAGAAAAUGAAAAGGAACAAAGGGGGAUUGAGGACAAGUUGAGAGAGAAGCUAAUAUAGAGGGCAAUUGUUCUAGCUUUUCUUGUCCAUGGCUGCAAAAGGGUGUUGGUUGAGCAUGCGAAGGGGUGGGGGUGGCAAAGGAGAGUGGAUGAGGGUGGACACGGGUUUGCAUAAUGGAGGAAGGAGGUGUAGUUAUUAGGGUAAAUUUAUUUAGAUAUUGGAGGGUAAUUAGGUAAUUUACAUUAUCUAUUAAUUCUAUUAAUUUAAGAGACAAUCGUUGACAGGGGAUAUUUGAAAUUUGUCAAAUUAUGAGAAAAUUUGUACUUUUGAUAGACCUCAGUGGUAUAUUUGUAAUUUAACCCAAGAAAAUUUGUUAUAUACAUGGUUGAAUUGUGUUGGAUCUUGCUUUUUAGUGCAGAAUAUGAGGAAUCUCUCCAGAAAAAGGCAACUGCUGCAGGUUUUGACCGUCCUAUAGAUUACGUGCGGCAUAAAAGGGAAAAGAACCCUCGAUACUGCAGAAUAUCUUAUGAGAAGUACAAGAAGUGCCUUAGCGAGAAAGAAACGAUGUGUGAAUUCAUGCGCAACAAUUGUCCCCAAUUUAAAUAGGCUACUAAAUGUUGUGAUGUUGUUCGCAACUACUUCAUGAAUGUCUGAACCACACUGAAAUCUAUAAAUUAUGCAUCUGAUCGGAGCCUAUUGUAUCUAUGGAUGGAGUAAUUAUCCAGUUCAACCAAUGCUUCAUUUUAAGUAGUUUUGCUAGUUAGAGUUUGGUGUGAUAUAUUAAUAUUUAUAUAAUUUGUGUGAUUUAUAUCUGAAGGAACUGGAAUGAGCCAAAAUUUUCUUGCUCUGGCUAAGAUAGGGUGUGCAAGUGAGAGAUGUCUGCAAUUAUAUUUCAUGUCUUGUGAAAUGCUUUGUAAUUUAAAAUAUCGUGUUAUGGUUAAGCAGAUAGAUAAAUGUUGCUUGCAAUAAGCUUCCGGUUAGAUGAGGUUGGA